AUUGAACGCUGGCGGCAUGCCUUACACAUGCAAGUCGAACGGUAACGCGGGGCAACCUGGCGACGAGUGGCGAACGGGUGAGUAACGCAUCGGAACGUGCCCAGUAGUGGGGGAUAGCCCGGCGAAAGCCGGAUUAAUACCGCAUACGACCUACGGGUGAAAGAGGGGGAUCGCAAGACCUCUCGCUAUUGGAGCGGCCGAUGUCAGAUUAGGUAGUUGGUGGGGUAAAGGCCUACCAAGCCUACGAUCUGUAGCUGGUCUGAGAGGACGACCAGCCACACUGGGACUGAGACACGGCCCAGACUCCUACGGGAGGCAGCAGUGGGGAAUUUUGGACAAUGGGCGCAAGCCUGAUCCAGCCAUGCCGCGUGCGGGAAGAAGGCCUUCGGGUUGUAAACCGCUUUUGUCAGGGAGGAAACGCACUGGACUAAUACUCUGGGGUAAUGACGGUACCUGAAGAAUAGCACCGGCUAACUACGUGCCAGCCGCCGCUGUAA
rnacentral:rRNA from 1 species